GACGAACGCUGGCGGCGUGCUUAACACAUGCAUGUCGAACGGAAAGGCCCUGCUUUUGUGGGGUGCUCGAGUGGCGAACGGGUGAGUAACACGUGAGUAACCUGCCCUUGACUUUGGGAUAACUUCAGGAAACUGGGGCUAAUACCGGGUAGGAGCUCCUGCUGCAUGGUGGGGGUUGGAAAGUUUCGGCGGUUGGGGAUGGACUCGCGGCUUAUCAGCUUGUUGGUGGGGUAGUGGCUUACCAAGGCUUUGACGGGUAGCCGGCCUGAGAGGGUGACCGGCCACAUUGGGACUGAGAUACGGCCCAGACUCCUACGGGAGGCAGCAGUGGGGAAUAUUGCACAAUGGGCGGAAGCCUGAUGCAGCAACGCCGCGUGCGGGAUGACGGCCUUCGGGUUGUAAACCGCUUUCGCCUGUGACGAAGCGUGAGUGACGGUAAUGGGUAAAGAAGCACCGGCUAACUACGUG
rnacentral:rRNA from 1 species